UUUACUAUAUUUCAGAUUACUGGAAUUCAACUCUGUGUGCAUUUUACAAUUUGCUUUUCAGACCAAAGAAACAAACAAAAAAGUUAGUUUGUGCAAACUUUAUGUAUUUUCUUCAUCUCUUCUGGAGCAACUUUUUAUUUUAGUUGUUUUGUUUUGCUGUAUGCUUUUGGUUUGAUUUAGAGUUGGAGGAGGUUUUACUGCCUGGUGUUUAAUCCAGAAACUCUUUGUUUGUGUUGUUUGCACGGUCCCGUCCAUCACUAUUACUUGUGGUUCUUGUGAAGAAGAGCUCCAGCUGACAUGAGGCUGUGUGGAGGCUGCCAUGUUGAAAUCUGACGGGCCAGACAGAGCUGUCGUAUAAUCAGUCACCCAAACUCCUGCCCCGGGGCUAAAAGUCAAAGGAUCGCGGAGACCUGAUGUAACACUUGUGUGAUUCUCCCCUUUGAAACUUCAAACUCCAGUUUGUGAGCAAAGUCCUGUCUAUCUUCUGAAUAGGAAUCUCCGACCACUGACCAAACUCCAUUUGUAAACCACUGCCUAUUUGUAGCUUCUCCUCAAUGACUGCAUCUCAUUCCUCCACGCCCGGCCUCAGAGGCGACAGGCAGUGAAAAUGAAAAAUGAAAAAGCUGGCAGCUGGAGGAGAAAUGGAGGCRUUCGGACGUGGAUAUACUCUGUGUGGGGACGUGUUUUUGUUUCUCUCUGUGGACGAGCGGCUCCCAGCAGCGACUGCACGUUGAUAAGAGGAGGAAACAGGAGACAGCGUGCUACCUGCAGCARGUCUGAGGCCGGCAGUGAAAGGCUGCAGGUGAUGAAGGAGAUAGACCUGUACAGAUGACCCCUGCCUCUCACACAGGGACGAUGGACUGAUGGAGACAGACAUGUGACCCAGAAAAAAACAGGUAUUUGUAUURGUAAAUUAUAUCCACAGGCA